AUGAGGGAGGCUGGGAAAUCAGCCUGGUGUGCUCAUCCGGGCGCUUCCAGCCUCUGGAAUUGCUUUGCCUUGGGAAUUGUCUCGGCUCUGGAAUUGUUGUUUUGCCUCUGGAAUUGUUGUCUCGGCUAUGGAAUUGUUGUCUCGGCUCUGGAAUUGUUUUGCCUCUGGAGUUGUUUUGUCUCUGGAAUUGUUGUCUCGGCUCUGGAAUUGUUUUGCCUCUGGAGUUGUUGUCCUGGCUCUGGAAUUGUUGCUUUGCUUGUGGUUUUUCCCCCUCCAAACGCUCCCAUGGGUUCCUGUGGCUUCCCCCAUCCGGGCUCAGCCUCCAUCCUGGAAAAAGGAGCAACAUUUGGCCCUCUUGGCUGCAAACGGCACAUUCCAGAGGGGUUUGGAUCCCGCAGGCAUUCCCUAGAGAUCGCCCAUCCCAUCCCGCGGGACGCCGAGGGAGCUUUGGGGACGCUCAGGUCCCUGGGCUGGGUCCCUUCUCUCAAAUUCAGCUUUUGGAGUUCGGCCUUUCCGAACGUUCAUUCCUGUCGGGAUAAAUCCCUGGGGAUUUCCUGGGGUGGCUUCCAGCUCGUCCUGGGACAUCCUGGACCACGGCCAGGAUCAGGAGGGGAUCUGGGAGUGAAAUCCAGGAAUGAAAUCCAUGAAAUCCAGGUCCCUCCCUGCCCGCAGGAGCUGCCUCGGGGUGGCACAAAAGCCCCGGGGGCGACAGCUUUGUCCCCUGCGUGUGGCACUGUGGGAAGCCUCAAAUCCAUGAUUUUCAGACAAGAAACCUCAAAUCCAUGAUUUUCAGCCGGGAAAGCCUUGAAUCCAUGAUUUUCAGACAAAAAAAACCCCUCAAAUCCAUUCUUUUCAUCCGAGAAAGUCACAAAUCCACAAUUUUCAGCAAGGAAAGCCUCAAAUCCAUGAUUUUCAGACAAGAAGCCUCAAAUUUGUGAUUUUCAGCUUGGGAAAGCCUCAAAUCCAUGAUUUUCAGACAAGAAACCUCAAAUCCAUGAUUUUCAGCCGGGAAAGCCUUGAAUCCAUGAUUUUCAGUUGAGAAAGGCUCAAAUCCAUGAUUUUCAGUUAGGAAAGGCUCAAAUCCAUUAUUUUCAGCAAGGAAACCUCAAAUCCAUGAUUUUCAGCUGGGAAAGCCUUGAAUCCAUGAUUUUCAGCCGGGAAAGCCUCAAAUCCAUGAUUUUCAGCCAGGAAGCCCUGGAGCCAUCUCAUUUUAUCCCCGAGCCUCGGUCCAUGGGGUUAACCUGGAGCAUUUGGAAUUGUCCACAUUGCACUGGGAAAAAGGUGGCUGCGCUCUGCCCCUGGAGAAAUCCGGGACUAGGAGGAUGGAAUUUCAGCUGGAUUGUCUUUCCCUCUGGAAAAUCCAGGUUUUUUAUCCCCCUGAGCAGCGCUGAGCUGCAGCUCUCUGCAUUUUUGGGAGCAGCUCCAGCUCCUGGCAGCGGCUCCGGGCUGCAGCAGGAGCUGAACUCUGGCUGUGCCUGCAGAUCCCUGUUCCCAAAUCCCACAUUUCCAACAGAAAAUAAGAACGUUCCAGGCAGAAAGGGGAUGGGGGAGGAGGAAAAAAAAACUGAUUUUGGGGUAUUUAUCUCCCUGCCACCUUUUUUUUUUUUAUGAUUUGCAGAGCCUGCGCUCGUUUUUCCUCCCACACAGGGCCUGUUCCAUGGAAUUUCCCAAUCCAGCCCCUUCCCAUCCGGGCAGGAGGUCGCAGGUGCAUUUCCAGAAUAUCCCGAAUAUUCCCCUCCUGCCCCACGCCCUUCCUGGCUGUUCCUGCCUCCUUUUUUCCUGAGGA
rnacentral:lncRNA from 1 species